CGCGGCGCGGUGCGGCGGGGCGGUGCCGCGGCGCGGGCCGGAGGCGGGCGGCUCGGCCAUGGAGGCGCCCUCGGUGUCCUCGGUGCCGGCCGCCUCCGCCUCGGGGGCGCCGGCGGGGCGGGGGCCCAUCAAGGGCAUCCUGAAGAAGGGCGGCGGGAAGGCGGCGGGGGACAGCGCGGCCCCCGGGGCGAGGCGGGCCAGUCCGGCCCGCGACGACGACGAGCACGGAAAAAAAUCCCAGAAGUGGGAUGAAAUGAACAUCAUAGCUACAUACCACCCAGCAGGCAAAGAUUAUGGCUUGAUGAAAAUAGAUGAACCUAGUACUCCGUAUCACAGCAUGGUAGGAGAUGACGAUGAAGAUGCAGUGAGUGAUUCAGAAUCAAAUGAGCCCUUAAAAGCAGAUGUGUUGAGUAAAAAACUGGCAGCUGCAGCUGAAGGUAGGGGACCUAAGAUUAUAGCAAGGCUAGAGGAAAGCAGUGAGGAGGAGGAUGAGGAUGAAGAAUUAACACCUGAAGAACGAGAAAAGAAGAAGCAGUUUGAAAUGAAGAGAAAAAUGCACUACAAUGAAGGACGAAACAUCAAACUGGCAAGACAGCUCAUCGCAAAAGAACUACCUGCUGAAGAUGAUGAAGAGAUGUGUGAUGCUGCAGAUGUAGAAACGAUGAAUACAGAAGCUACUGAACAUGAACUUCACUCUCCAGGGGAAAGGAGGGCUCCAAUAGGCAACCUUAGGACCUUUCUCCAUGGCUUGAAGCUGCCAUCUCUCUGCACUCUGCUGUAAAACAGAGGCAACUCCGCUCCCCAGCUGCAUUCUCCAGUGGACAGAAGGCACACCUUUGCAGCAUUUUUCCAUCUCUAUUGUUGAAGUCCAUUCCACCUUGCCUCAUAACCAGCUUCUGAACCACAACUGAAUGAGAUUUCUUGCUGAUUGAAAUGAAGAUCACCAGUCCAGUCAGUAAUGCACAUGCUACUCAAGACCAGCUGGAAGGUAGAGCACGCAGCGUAGAAGAAAUCUGUCCAGAACUGUAACUGCUUGUCAAAGACACAAAUAUAAACACUGCUUCAUGAUUUUUGCAAUUAAGGCUCUUAUAUAUUGAGAAGCAUAUCAGUUACAAUGUUGUAUUGCCAAGAAUGUUAAUUUUAGACUUGUCCAUUAGGCAGAAAAAAAACUGUCUAAUUGAUUUAUUCUUGUGCCUAGUAUUUCAUGGAGAAUACUGCUUUAUUAUCUGUUCAACCAGAUGGCAUUCCCUGUAUGUAUAAUGCUGAUUAUCUUGCGUAAUGUACUGUUACUCUUCAUGCUUUGAAACACAGACACUAUCUCUGUUUUUUCACUAUUUAUUUGACAGUGCUCUAGGUGUGGUAUCCCUUAUGGAGGGGUUUAGGAUUCAAGAGCUAAACGGUACAGCAUAUAUCAGAUUGACACGCAAGCUAUUUAUCAGAUGUGUUAAGCAGUAUAAAAAGGGAUUAUACAAGUUUUAGAACUUCUUAAAAACAAUUUUGACCUCUUAAUCUAGAUUUCAGUGUAUUAUUACCUGUACUUCCUCAAUCUCAAGAAGAAAAGCUGUAUUUUUCAGACCAGUAUUUGGAAUCAGUUAUUUGCUUCUGACUAAGGCAGUGCUAACAUCUGGCGGAGGGAGUGUUUUACACUGGAAGCGUGCUAACUUGAACUUUGAAUUUAACUCAUUUUCUCUUCCACUGGAUGUUUUUUUGGAGCUCUCGGUUUAUCUUGAGAACAUGAAAGUUCCCUCUGACUUUUCUCUUAAAACGACAUCAACUGUUAUUCUUAUGGCUCUUGCUUCAAGCUUUUGAUCCUUUCCAGUUGCGUGAUGAGUUGUGCUUACAAGCACCUGAAGAAAAACACCCAUCCAUAAGGAAAAUCCACAUCAGGACUGUGAAGAUGGGCUGAGUUUAGGCUCUGUCUGUUCUUUAUGUGAAGAUAACUGCUGGUGUUCUGCUUGUUUGGGGUUUGUAACCUGCAUACUGAAAACCACUGGUCUAAAUCUUUCUGCAUCCAAGUAAGUUACUUACAGCAGCUGCUUUUGCAAAAUGAAAGCUGUUUGGAAGAUUAGAAAGGAAACUGCCUAAUUCAGAUACGUUGUUUACGAUGUGGUUGUGUAGCCCUUGUAAAGAGGGAUUCUGAACCUCCACAUUGCUGUAAACAACUUCCCACUCGAUGGAAUUUGACUAGUGAAUGUUCUAGUAUUCAAAAUAGUUCCUGGGUUUUAUUACAGCAAUGAAGUAUACACUUAAGCUUUAGCUUGAUUAUGGAAUACAGUGUAUAUCUUAAUUUUGGUCUGAAUUUGAUAUGUUGCAAAAAUCCAUAUAAUUAUAUGGAUCUAUUUUAAAAUGUCUCUUUGUCCACUGUAUAUGUGAAGUUUGAAUAAAGGAAUGAAAGUUAUUUUACAGUUACCUGCAUUCUCAAGUGUGAGCUUUCAUGAAAUCCCAGAGAGAGUGAGAGUGAAUAAAGCAGUAGAAUGCUGUCACUUGCAAGGUUUACACAGGAAUAACAACUAGAAUGGGUGUAUUGCCAAAGAUAUCUGUGAGCUUCGCUAAAUGGUGUGCCUUUCCUAAAUAUCUCCUCCUUAUAGACAACAUGGUUGUCAGUUGUCGGAUACUUGAUCUCUUAAGGGCCUGAAUUAAAAUCAGUAUUGUCUUUUCACAAGAAAAAGUUGAACUCCUGGUUUGGUCCAGUGUGAUGAUGCUACUUUUGCAGUAUGGAGAUUGCUGCUUCUUGUGUCAAAAAUUUUGUAUCAAUUUCUGUAGGUAUGCAGGGGCAAAGAGUAAGCAAUUAGAUGCUUGUGACUCCUAAAGUCUCUUACUGUAGCUUUAAACUUGGCUCUCAAAGUGUUUCAAAAUUUAAACUCUUUAUGUAUUAGCUUUGAGAGUUCAGAUUGUUGGUAUGUGCAAAGCUCUUUGCAGACCAGCCUGCAUUUCAGAUGGUCUGCCCUGGCUAAGGCACAAAGUCCUAAUGAGAGAGUAGUGGCACUUGGCAAAGCUGCGUGGCUUUUGGAUUGGAGCUUGGGAGGGUCAAGAUUUGACCAAUGCGUGUGGGUAACACAGUUGUCUUAUGUGAUGCUUUAAAACGGAUUACUCUUAAUUUGUGAUAAAGUAUCCAUAAUUAAAGCAGAAACCAUCAGAAAGCUCUUGUGUGAGCUAAUGCCCUGCCUUCUUCCCCACCACAAUUCUUGUGCCCAAGACUUUGUUUUUAUUUUAGUGCUCGGUGUGAGUUCUUUAUAGCCUACAAUGCUUGCAAAGCAUUUAAUUUAACAAACAAACCCCCCUCCUUUGUUAACUUUCAGUCAAGUUCUUUCCUGUAACAAUUUCCAAAAUCCUAGAUGAACUGGGUAUGUAUCCUUGAGGAAGGUAGAGUGCACAUAAGUACAUGAAGGUAGUUUUAAAUGAAUCUCAGAAUGUAUAGGUUCCCUUCAUCUUUCAGAUCUUAAGCAGUCUGGGUGAUCUCUCUUCUUCUGUGCAACCAAGUCCCCAGGUUUCAGUUAGAUGCAGUUUGGAUAGGAACUUCUAUUGGUUUUAGUGAUGUCUUUUAGUAAAGGUUUGUUGUCCUCCUCACUUUCUUCAGUGCUAGCAAAAAUUCUCUUCGCACUUCGUAUGACUCACCUGGACUGCAACCCAAUGUGCCUGACGCUGCUUCUAGAUGAGAGGCUGGUUCACUUGAUUUCUAUCCAGGCUUAACCCUUCAUGUAUUUUAAAGGCUAAAAUAGAUAAGUUUACUUUGCAGUUACUGCAGAUCUUCUUAAUAGCUAUUUUGGUUUGUUUUUAGAGGAAUGUCUGAUUUCCUUCUAUUUUGGAAAUAUUAAUUAUAGCUCCCUGCUGAGUAGAGACAAAAGAGAGGACAUGCCUUUCUUCUUUCAUUUGCAUGCAGGUUUUAAUCUUGUGGUGAUAGGGUAACAGCUCAUUUGUAGUGUAAAGAGCGGUGUAAAGAGGAAACAAAACACACGCAGCCCUCACCAAUGUGGAAAUGGACAUCCACAGCAUCGGAAUUGCAGUGUUUCUCACACAGAUUUAUUUAAGUCCUCAAGUUCCAUCCUGGUUAGGGAAUAUAUUUCCAGAAUGCUUCCAGUAGGAAGAUCACUUGCAAAUAACAGCCUUAACCCUGUGCUUAAGGCUUUUUUGUCCUUGAAGGUUUUUUGGUGGUUUGUUUUUGUUUUGUUUUGCUUUACACUGAGUUGGGCACUUAGUGUGCCCAAAUCUUUUUUCUGCAACUGUCUCUGGUGUUGAACUCGUGUAUCUCACAGGAAUUCUUUGUUUCUGUAACGUGCUUUUUUGUGGUCUGUAUUACGAAACCACCUCACAACUGUAACUAUUCUGUUUGAAAACAGUGUUAAGUGUCACCAAAUAAAUAAAUGUCCUUGGUUUCCGUA